UACGUAGGGGGCAAGCGUUGUCCGGAAUCACUGGGCGUAAAGCGCGCGUAGGCGGAUUGUUAAGUCAGGGGUGAAAUCCUGGAGCUCAACUCCAGAACUGCCUUUGAUACUGGGGAUCUCGAGUCCGGGAGAGGUGAGUGGAACUCCGAGUGUAGAGGUGAAAUUCGUAGAUAUUCGGAAGAACACCAGUGGCGAAGGCGGCUCACUGGCCCGGUACUGACGCUGAGGUGCGAAAGCGUGGGGAGCAAACAGG
rnacentral:rRNA from 1 species